AUGCCUUUGGACCUGGGAUCUAGCAGGCUGCUUCUGAUAGGCACAGCACAGCGUGAGACUGGACUACAGACAGAGGGUGCCUGAACACAGCCAGCCAACAUUUCCAGAAGCAGCAUGGGGUGAGGCAGAGGCUGUUUGCUUGAUCCCUACUGACCCAGAGCUGUUGGUGAAAACUGUGUGCAUUGCCCAGGCCUGCUGACAGUGAGGGGAUGAAGAGGACGACUGCUCCAGGACCCAGUGAUUCAAAAGGGCCCGUGACUCCUGGUCAGCAGCAGCAGUGAUGGCUGGAGCCCCAGGACCUUUACAGCUAUGCCAGAGUUGUAGCAGGUGCAUUCUGGGAGGCGUAGAGUGGCUGGCUGGAGGAUGCUAGCUCCAGCUCCUCCCUGUUGUCUGAAGCACUGCCCCUUCCAAGAGCAUGGAGCCACACCCUCCUGGCCUUCACUGUCAAUUUUUUUUUAUGAGAAAAAAAUAUUCACCAAUAUUUAUAGCUCUGAGUGGUGUUACUAAAGCUGACUGGUAGCAUUAGCAAAAGAAUAAUCAAUGUUCAAUGAAACUCAAGAUUUUCAUCAGUUAAUGGGAAAGAAUGUUGCUUGAUGUAAACAUAUGCUUAAUGCAGACUCUAUUUCAUAGCCCGUACAAUUAUGGUAACAUUUACCUAUCUUUCUACAGCAUGUGCAUAAGUGACUAAGGAUACACUAAGUAAGUCCCAUUUUAAAAACAUGAUAUAAAUUAGGAGGAUCCUAAAUCUCAUUGGAGAAUUUGGCUUGAUUAGGUGCCUAGGUUCUUUUUGAAAAUGGCUCCAAACUCAUUUAGGUAGGUUCUCAGUUAGGUCAGAUCCUCUCAGCCAGUAUAAACUGAUGAAUCUUCAUUGACUUUAGUUGACUUUGAAAAGAUCACCUAAUAAUGUUCAGAUUAUUCCAUCAGAUAUUAAACAUAAAGUAUAGCUGUUGAGACAAUGGCUGUGUAAUUGUGUAACUUUUGUUACAUUUCUUUUGCUCGGUUUUUUGAAAUUUGGUGCACAGUGGUUAGAAAUGAAGAAAUGCUUCAAGUUUCUUGGAGAAACAAAUGUAUUAUGCUUGAUCCUCCAAGAGGAACUGCCAUAAUAAGCACCUUUCUCUCCCGUGUGCUAUUCAUUGCCCACAGGCUCUUCAGUCCAUAUCCCUGUGCAGAAGCUUCAUGCCUCUGCCAUAGCUUGAGAAACCAUUGUGGAAGGAGCAAAGAACAACAGCUAGGGAAGAAGGCUGAGUGUGAUUUUCAUCUGUGCAAGCAUAGAAGAUCUUCUGGAAGCAUGAAACGAGGGUUGUGAUUGCACAGAUCUACCCUAAGUUUGAGUAGGAUAAAAAUGUGACACACAACUCUAGCUGGGCCACUAUAGUUUCGGUGAAAAUUAAUUAGAUCAUUUUUUUCAUAGAUUAGUGAGAUGAUUAGUGUAAUUUCAGUUAAAUAAUUAUAGCAACACCUAAUUAAAACAAGGCAAAGGAAAGAAAUGUAUAUAGGGGAAAGAUGGUUAAAAAACAACUCAAGAAACAAAAAUAUGCAGGGACAGAAAGAGCUACAUUUCUUUUGUGCCUCAUAUCUUUCCAUUCAUGUGUACAACAGGUUCUUCAGAAUAGCAGAUGAAUUCCCAGGUAAAUCUCUGUAGCAUCAGGACCUAAUGAGGUACAUUCAUCACAUCACUUUGUGUUAAUGGUCACUCCUUAAAGAAAUAUUAAGAACAGUACCUCAUUUUUGUUGAUUCUGUUUUGAGUGAGAGUGUCUGAGAGGUGAACUAAUUUGCCUAAAGUCACAUGGUAGGUCUAUGCCAGAAUUGGAAAUAGAACCUAGAUUUCUUGACUCUGCCCUAGUCACAAUACCUUAAACAUUUCUGCAUAAAACUAACUAGGCUUUUCUGAGUUGGAUUACCACACUGAAUAAUUAAGUAGAGUACAGGUAAGUACUCUGUGAGCAGUUAGGUACCACAGUGAACCUUAGAAAAAUAAGAUUAGCUAGAUAAAAUAGAAAAGCAGAAAGACCUCAACACACACACAUACUCAUUCUCUCACAAGUGGAAACAUCUCCAAACUCCACAUAUCUUGUUGUAUCCUUCAUGGAAGGUAAAUUAUAACCUAGGUUGCUCUGU